rnacentral:rRNA from 1 species
ACUUUAUUUGAUUUCCUUCGGGACUGAUUAUUUUGUGACUGAGUGGCGGACGGGUGAGUAACGCGUGGGUAACCUGCCUUGUACAGGGGGAUAACAGUUAGAAAUGGCUGCUAAUACCGCAUAAGCGCACAGUACCGCAUGGUACAGUGGUAAAAACUCCGGUGGUAUGAGAUGGACCCGCGUCUGAUUAGCCAGUUGGCGGGGUAACGGCCCACCAAAGCGACGAUCAGUAGCCGACCUGAGAGGGUGACCGGCCACAUUGGGACUGAGACACGGCCCAAACUCC